CAAGGAUAAAACACCCUAAACUCCAAUCAAAUCAUUAUUUAAUCUACAAUGGAGUGCAUGUAAUGAGUUAGAGGGCCAUGAGAUAUCAAGUUGAAUAUUGUUGAUUCAUCUUUCUAACGUCGUCGAGUCGACUAAAUUUUGAGUUCGUAUGAAGAAGAUAUGACUUUUUAAGUGCAAUCUAUAUAGUUGGAAAUUCAUCCGUUUUGAAGAGGGAUAUUUUGGUCUUUUUCUUACCCCAAUAUCCUAGCAAGUUUUACCCACCUAAGGUAAGGGGUCAAAAUAUAUCAAGUGAAUUUUCAUUCGAUCUAAAAACGUUUGAAAAGUUAUGGCAAAGUUCAAGAAAAAGGGAGAAAACUUCGAGCUUCAUCGAGUUUUGAGAAUUUUUGCUAAGAACUUGAUUCUUUCGAGGAAUUCAGGGUCAUCAAUAGGCGCUCCAUUGAUACCACUUGCAAUUCGUAAUUUGCUUUGAUGCGGGUAACCAGGAUCAAUAUCGAGCGCCUCGUUAAUCCAGGUUGAGCACUCAGAGUUUGUUGGUGAGCCUCCUUGCUUUCUAAAGACCCAUUUUAUUUUGUUUUCAGUAUUUAAGUUUUAGGAUGAUUGGGGGUAUUCUCCCAACAUCCCUCUUUGUAAUAGAGGCUUCAUAGAUAGACAAUUUAAUAAUUUAUCAGUCUUUACAUUAUCAUUCUAUGUCAAAGACUUGAGUUGUCAUUUUGUCCAAGUGAAUGUUUGGUUCUUUUAA